UACGUAGGGGGCGAGCGUUGUCCGGAUUUAUUGGGCGUAAAGAGCUCGUAGGCGGCUUGACAAGUCGGGUGUGAAAACUUCAGGCUCAACCUGGAGAUGGCACUCGAUACUGUUAUGGCUAGAGUCCGGUAGGGGACCACGGAAUUCCUGGUGUAGCGGUGAAAUGCGCAGAUAUCAGGAGGAACACCGGUGGCGAAGGCGGUGGUCUGGGCCGGCACUGACGCUGAGGAGCGAAAGCGUGGGGAGCAAACAGG
rnacentral:rRNA from 1 species